GUGAGGAAUAUUGGUCAAUGGACGAGAGUCUGAACCAGCCAAGUCGCGUGAAGGAAGACGGUUCUAUGAAUUGUAAACUUCUUUUGUGCAGGAAUAAAGUGGGUUACGUGUAACCUUUUGUAUGUACUGUACGAAUAAGGAUCGGCUAACUCCGAGCCAGCAGCCGCGGUAAUACGGAGGAUCCGAGCGUUAUCCGGAUUUAUUGGGUUUAAAGGGUGCGUAGGUGGAUUGAUAAGUUAGCGGUGAAAGUUUGCAGCUUAACUGUAAAAUUGCCGUUGAAACUGUCGGUCUUGAGUGCAAAUGAGGUAGGCGGAAUGUGUUGUGUAGCGGUGAAAUGCUUAGAUAUAACACAGAACUCCGAUUGCGAAGGCAGCUUACUGGGAUGCAACUGACACUGAUGCACGAAAGCGUGGGUAUCAAACAGGAUUAGAAACCCCAGUAGUCC
rnacentral:rRNA from 1 species